CAAUAGCGUAUAUUAAAGUUGUUGCAGUUAAAAAGCUCGUAGUUGGAUUUCUGGGAGGGUGCCGCCGUCCGGCGUGUCCGUGUGCAGUGGCGCCCUUCCAUCCUUCUGUUAGCGUCUCUUGGCAUUCAUUUGCUGGUGGCGGGCUCAGAUAUUUUACCUUGAGAAAAUUAGAGUGUUUCAGGCAGGCUAGGCCGGAAUACAUUAGCAUGGAAUAAUGGAAUAGGACUACGGUCUCUUUGUUGGUUUGAGGGACUGCAGUAAUGAUUAAUAGGGAUAGUUGGGGGCAUUAGUAUUUAAUUGUCAGAGGUGGAAUUCUCAGAUUUGUUAAAGACUAACUUAUGCGAAAGCAUUUGCCAAGGAUGUUUNCAUUA
rnacentral:rRNA from 1 species